AUUGAACGCUGGCGGCAGGCUUAACACAUGCAAGUCGAGCGGAGUGAUGGUGCUUGCACUAUCACUUAGCGGCGGACGGGUGAGUAAUGCUUAGGAAUCUGCCUAUUAGUGGGGGACAACAUCUCGAAAGGGAUGCUAAUACCGCAUACGUCCUACGGGAGAAAGCAGGGGAUCACUUGUGACCUUGCGCUAAUAGAUGAGCCUAAGUCGGAUUAGCUAGUUGGUGGGGUAAAGGCCUACCAAGGCGACGAUCUGUAGCGGGUCUGAGAGGAUGAUCCGCCACACUGGGACGGAGACACGGCCCAGACUCCUACGGGAGGCAGCAGUGGGGAAUAUUGGACAAUGGGGGGAACCCUGAUCCAGCCAUGCCGCGUGUGUGAAGAAGGCCUUAUGGUUGUAAAGCACUUUAAGCGAGGAGGAGGCUCUUUUGGUUAAUACCCAGGAUGAGUGGACGUUACUCGCAGAAUAAGCACCGGCUAACUCUGUGCCAGCAGCCGCCGUAACAC
rnacentral:rRNA from 1 species